GACGAACGCUGGCGGCGUGCUUAACACAUGCAAGUCGAACGGAAAGGCCCUGCUUUUGUGGGGUGCUCGAGUGGCGAACGGGUGAGUAACACGUGAGUAACCUGCCCUUGACUUUGGGAUAACUUCAGGAAACUGGGGCUAAUACCGGAUAGGAGCUCCUGCUGCAUGGUGGGGGUUGGAAAGUUUCGGCGGUUGGGGAUGGACUCGCGGCUUAUCAGCUUGUUGGUGGGGUAGUGGCUUACCAAGGCUUUGACGGGUAGCCGGCCUGAGAGGGUGACCGGCCAACAUGGGGAUGGAGACAGGCCCCAGCCCCCGCGGGGGGGAAGAGGGGGGAAAUUUGGCAAAGGGGGGGGAGGCCGGAGCCAGAAACCCCGGGGGGGGGAGGAGGGCUUGGGGUUUGAAACCCGCUUCCGCCGGGGACGAGGGGGGGGGGAGGGAAAGGGGAAAAAAGACCCCGGCUAACUCCGUG
rnacentral:rRNA from 1 species